AUUGAACGCUGGCGGCAGGCCUCACACCUGCAAGUCGAGCGGAGCGGCGGACGGGUGAGUAAUGCCUAGGCAUCUGCCUGGUAGUGGGGGAUAACGUCCGGAAACGGGCGCUAAUACCGCAUACUAUCAGAUGAGCCUAGGUCGGAUUAGCUAGGUGGUGGGGUAAAGGCAUACCAACGCUACGAUCCGUAACUGGUCUGAGAGGAUGAUCAGUCACGCUGGAACUGAGACACGGUCCAGACUCCUACGUGAGGCAGCAGUGGGGAAUAUUGGACAAUUGGCGAAAGCCUGAUCCAGCCAUGCCGCGUAUGUGAAGAAGGGCUUCGGAUUGUAAAGCACUUUAAGUUGGUAGGCGUUACCAACAGAAUAAGCACCUGCGAACUUCGUGCCAGCAGCCGCGGUAAUAC
rnacentral:rRNA from 1 species